rnacentral:lncRNA from 1 species
NNNNNNNNNNNNNNNNNNNNNNNNNNNNNNNNNNNNNNNNNNNNNNNNNNNNUUAUAGUGGAUGAUCCCCGAGACUGGCUACCGGGGGCCAUGAUUCGGGUGCAGUGGGAGGACGAAAGAAGAGAAGAAGCAGGGGAAAGACCAGAAGCAGGGGAAAGACCGAGGGUGCCGCACCCUGGGAAAGAUGGCGCUGGCCGAGAGAGGAGUGGGCGUCGACCAGCAUUGUGGGAGGAGGAGACUGAAGACUCAGGCACAGACUCUGACUCCUUAGAAGGAAUAACGACGAAGAUGCAGCAACUAGGGCGGAGUUCCCCGCCGCAGUCAGAGGCGGGAGGAAAAAAGGGGAGGAAAGUCACAAGAGAUAUGGAGCAGAUGUUUAUGCUGCUUACAGCUCUGGAAGAAGAAAUAGCUAAACAAAGAGGRCUAUUAGAGGCAACAGCUAAACAAAGAGGGCUAUCAGAGGCAGCAGCUAAACAAAGAGGGCUAUCAGAGACAGCAGGUUUCGCCCAAGCGGGAGGGGGAAAAGAAAUUCCCCUAAUGGACUGGAAACUGAUAGCGACGGAAUGUGCCCUGAGUGGCCUCAAGUUUCGUGCACCAAUAGGGGCCUUCCCAGUACGAGUUGCCCCGGGGGGGGGGGCAGUGGAAUGGGUGCCCCUCGACCCAAAGACGGUACAACAGCUAUUGAAAGCAGUGCAAGAACAGGGCCUGCGACACCCGGUGACACAGACGUUGCUGGACGCGGCGCACGCGGGAGGCCUAGUACCGUGGGAUUGUCGCACCCUCGCGCGACUGGUCUUAUCGCCCACGAUGGUCCUUAUGUGGAAAGARGCGUGGACCUCRCGCCUGCAGCAGGCGUUGAUGGCCGCGCAGGCAGACCCGCAGAACCCACUGGGCCAAUCCACCCUAACGUGGUUAAGAGGAAAUGAUGCGGCCAUGGCCACACCCCAGCAGCAGGCAGCGGGCCUGAGACCUCGGGAGAUACUGGCGGCAACAGAAGCAUCUCGAAAGGCCUUUGAUGAUAUUGGGCCACUGGUGCAGCAGGCAGACCCAUGGACGAUUGUGAAGCAGAGAGUGGGAGAGCCGUUUGACAAGUUUUGUGACAGGCUACAGGCAGCAGUAGAACUUGCAUCUUU